AUCGCUCUACAUGGGGAAGGCUAUCCAUGGUGCUCAGUAAAUAGGUAAUACUAAGGCUCAUGGGCAGUCACUAGUCUGCAGUCAUAGCUUAUAUAAUGUGGCUUACCACUAAAAAACAACUUUUUUCCUUUACAGGAAGGAAGUAUGGCAAGAAGCUAAUGGAUUUAAGUCGUAAUGUGGAACUAUUUUUGAUCACUGCGUGGUUCAAGAUUCUUUUAAAACUCAUUUGUUAAAAAAGCAAAGAUAUUUUAUCAAAGUGACAGAAUCUCUGAGAAGUCUG
rnacentral:lncRNA from 1 species